rnacentral:lncRNA from 1 species
CACAGGCGUCAUUUCUCAGACUCUUGAGGCUGAAGCGUGUAGGAGCAGGAAGCAAGGCUGUUUCUCCCAAGCGCUGCACCCAGCUCGUGGCACCCACCCUCAUCCAGGUGAGGGGACGGGAGGACGCAGAUGAACAGGGUUACUGACGCUGGAGUAAACAGAGCACAGGCCUAUCCAUAGUCUCUCCUCCAGCACUGGGAACUCUUGCAAAACCAAUGAUUUAACUGCCCGUAA